AGAAUCAGAUCUCAAAAAUUACUGUCAACAUUCUUUCUCAGAUUCUUCAAUCUUUAUCUCUCACUUCUUUAAAAUCGUUCCUACUACUCUCAACAUUCCAGUGAAACUGCCAAACGAAGAUGAAACCCGUUAUCUUGUUAAGGGUUUUAGUUUUUAUUGAUAAAACCGUAAUAAGAAUUCGUCGAACCUUAAACGAGAGAAUCAGUUGAACCUCAAGUUUAAGAAGCCUAGGUGACGAUGCUACCUUCAAGAAAUUUUUGGAUGUAAGCAACAGGGAGCAGGAGAACAAAUGCCGGAACAUGUUUAUAGUUUGAUGUGUGGAACCUGGAGCAAAUUUUCAUCUACAGCAGUUUUUCAGACCUCAGGGGGGUUAUGAUUACGAUCCUGACUUACUUUCCAUAACACUGAUCAAGGGCCUGGGUGUGCAAGAAUUGCACGCAGAAAGGGAAUUCAACUCGAUGCUGUUGCACGUGGGCACUUAUUUGUGGAUAUUGUGGAACGGGGAAGGUUGGUAUUGCUCUAGAGUUGCAUAGGGAGAUUGUGAAAUGGAACUGCAGUCCAAAUGUGAUCACUUAUGCCAAGAUGAAGACAUGCAGUUUUGUAUUAUUCUGCAGUGGCUUAUUGGACUGUUUCCAUGAUUCACUUCGCAGUUCCAUUAGUCGCUUCCAGUUGUGGUACAUGGAGUUGUGUGUUGAUGAGUAACCUCCCAUCCAGCGCAAAGUAACCAGUAGCAAGGGGAAUGCUGCUUGAUUAGUCUUCUCUCUUUGACAAAACAAGUCUUCACAUUAUGGGGAAUCAUUUGAAUUGCAGAAGCUUAAAUGACAAUGCUACCUUCAAGAAACUUUUGGAUGUCAUCAACAGGGAGUGUGAAAACAAAUGGUUGAGCAUGUUCGUAGAUUGAUGUGUGGAACCUGGAGCAAUUUUUCAGACCUCAGGGGGGUUAUGAUUACGAUCCCGACUCAUGAGACUGUUACUUUCGAUAACACUAAUCAAGGGCCUGGGUGUCCAAGAAUUUCACUCAGAAUGGGAAUUCAACUCGAUGCUGUUGCACAUGGGGCACUUAUAUGUGGAUAUUUUGGAAUGGGGAAAGUCAGUCUUGCUCUACGGUUCCAGACGGAGAUUGUGAAAUGGAACUGCAGUCCAAAUGUGAUCACUCGUGCCAAGAUGAAGACAUGCAGAUUCAUAUUAUUUUGCAGUGGCUUAUUGGACAUAGGUUUCGUUAGUUAUGGUGUUUCCAUGAGUCACUUCCAGAGUUGUGGUACAUGGAGCUGUGUGUGGAUGAUGCACCUCAAGAAACGAAAAACUGAAAACAGAGCCUUUUGUCCCAAUCAAGUUGGGGUAUUUUGUGCACCUCCCAUCCAACGCAAGUUAACCAGUAGCAAGGUUAACUCUUCAUUCUCUGAUUUUAUUUUAGUUUGAUGAGUCUUCUCUCUUUGACCAAACAAGUCCUUAACAUCAUCAGGAAUCAUUUGAAUUGUAGAACUUUCAGUGGCGAUGUUACACCCAAGAAACUUUCAGGUGUCAGCAAUAGGGAGCAUAAGAACAAAUGAUGGAGCAUGUUUAUAGAUUGGUGUGGAACCCUGAGCAAUUUCUCAAACCUCUGCAGCAAUUCUUAGACCUCACGGGGUUAUAAUCCUGGCGAUGAGACUAUUACUUUCAAUUACACAGAUCAAGGGGUUGUUAGUGCAACAAUUUAACUGGGGAAUGGAUUGAACUCGAUGCUGUUACAUGUAGGUCACUUAUAUGGGCAUUGUAAAACUGGAAGGGCAGUCCAAAUGAGGUUACUUGCCUCUUUGUGCAGUGGCUUAUUAGCCGUAAAUUCCUAUUCUCUAUACCUGAACCUUUUAACAAAUCUAAACUUGAAUGAAUAUCAGCAAGCUCCCUUAUUAUUGAUAGCAUUAGUGGUUGGUGUGGCACUCACAGUUCUAUAUUAGGCCUAUUCCUAUGGGUAUGCCAAAAAAAUGUUGUUUGGCGUACCAGGUGGCAUGGCAAAUGAGUUUCCCCAUUACAGUAGAUAUGUCAAACUUGAUUAAA